rnacentral:lncRNA from 13 species
UAUUGCUUGAAAUCAUAAUAUACAAUGUUCCCAUAUCAAUAAUAAUAAAACACACUUCGUACAGGAGACACAGGAGAACAGUGUGCUCUUUGACCCCAUUGGGUAAUGUAAUGUAAAUCAAAAGUUGGCUCAUUGGCUAAUGAUAAGGUUUGACAGAGUGGAUUGGCCAACCUCACAUUAGUCAACGCAAACUCAGCGUUCUUUAUUGUGUUUUAAUAAAGGGUGUGUUUCUGCACAAACAGGCGGUGCUCGGUUUGGCUUUAUACCUGGGUCUGUGAUUGUCCGGGGGUGGAGGCAGAACACAAAGGACAUGGAUGCUGAAGUCCACGCCGAUAGAACCGACCAGAACGGAGAAAACAACACAGCAGAUAGCAUAGUGGUCUGUACCAAGCCUCCAGCCUCAACCACAGAACAAGGGGUCGACCCCUUACAGGACGUCCCAGGGAGGAACACUGAGGAAGAGGAGGAGCAGAGGAGGAGAGAUGAAGACGAGGAUCUAGAGUUCCCUCACGACUUCCUGCCCAGCACAGACCUCAGCCUUGAACUCCACUGGGGGACUUCACUUAGAACAGAGAUUAAGAGUGAUCAGGAGAGCCUGAGUGACUCAGUGAGCCCCCUGCUGGCUGGUCUGCAACAUCACAUGGACGGCAGCACACAACUGGUGGCUGUGCAGAAGAGGCAUCCCGGCCAUGCUGACCUAGUUCCCACAGACAUUCGUACUCCUCCUUCCCCCAAACCUACUGCCAAGCCCAUGGAGGGUGCCCUAUCCCCACCCCUUCUGCCCCCGUCUCCAGCUCUGUCCAUGGAGAGGGUCCCAGCCCUGCCGAUUGCCCCGCCCGUUGAAGGUGCCCCAUUCCUGUGCCCACCCCUCCCAGCACUAUCUUCCCUACCGUUGUCCCAAGCCCAGUCUACUAGUAUGCCCAUGCAGAGUGCUCCACCUCUCACACCCCUGUCCCCUGCCAUGCUGCUUGAACAGGAGCUGCUCCAGGCCUUCCAGGAAUACGAGGAACAAAUGGCCUCUCUGAGCAUACCAGACCUCCGUGUCUCUGAGGCCAGUGGUCAAUGCCCACCCGUGGGCCUUCUGCCCAAAUAUUCAGUCCACUAUGAGGACGAGGAAGGAAGAAGGGAUACGGGAGGAGGAGUGACUGUUACUGUUCCCAAGGACGUAGAGUCAUCUUCUCCAUCGCCACGGAUACGACCACCACCUCCCCUACUUGUGAUCCAGCCAGGAUACCGCGGCGACGACAACAACGACGCCGGUGAAAACGGCAACGAGGAAACACAGCGUGGAAACAGUGACACAUCAACAAGUCAGAGGGUCACAGCCUACACCGAAGGGUUCAGUUUCAGAAGUUACCUUCUGGGAAAUAAUAAGAAACCAGUUGAAGAGAGCGCAGCCGAAGAGGCUGAACAAGAGGAAAGCACAUUACAACUGUUUGAGAGAAUGGCUAGAGAGGCAGAGGCAGAGAUUCACUCCAAAAAAAAGGCAGAUGCACUGAAGGAAACAGACACUCAGAUGCCAUUGGACUCGACAACAGAUGCAGAUUUAUUUAAAGAGACCCUGAUAAGUCCAGAGUCUGUGGAGCAGAGAGAGCAGGCAGAGAGAGCAGAGCUACUGAUAGGUCUAGUAGUAGGGUCUAAAACAGACCAGCUGACAGCGCAAAAAAACUCAGAAGAGACAAAGGCAGACUCACAGGCUGAGACCAAGCAGGCUGAGACCAAGCAGGCACAGUCCAAGCAGGCUGAGACCAAGCAGGCACANNNNNNNNNNGGAUAGUCAGCCAGGGUGGGAGGAUAGUCAGCCAGGGUGGGGAUAGUCAGCCAGGGUGGGGAGGAUAGUCCAUCACUGCCCAGUGUCUACUGCCUAGUCCAUCACUGACCAGUGUCUACUGCCUAGUCCACCACCUCCCAGUCUAUCACUUCCUAGUCCAUCACUGCCUAGUCCAUCACUUCCUAGUCCAUCACUGCCUAGUCCAUCACUGCCCAGUGUCUACUGCCUAGUCCAUCACUUCCUAGUCCAUCACUGCCCAUUGUCUACUGCCUAGUCCAUCACUGCCCAGUCCAUCACUGCCCAGUGUCUACUUCCUAGUCCACUUAUUAUUCCUAGUGCACUAUAUAGGGAAUAGGGAGCCAGUCCUGGUCAAAAGUAGUGCACUAUAUAGGGUAUAGGCAGACAUGUACUUGGCAGUGUCCAGUGACCCUGGCUACAAUGAC